AAGUCGUAACAAGGUUUCCGUAGGUGAACCUGCGGAAGGAUCAUUAUUGAAAUAAUCUGUGGGUGCUGUGCUGGCCUCUCGGGGUAAUGUGCACGCACUUGCUAAUUAUCAUUAUCUUCUUGUGAACCUAGUGUAGUCGUUUUGGUUUUUGAAGUGUAUGGGGGCAACCCUGUAGGCUUUGAAGGCUCGAGCGACUAUGAUUUUAUAUAAACUAUUGUCUGUCCUAGAAUGUUACUUUAUUGACUGCGAAGUCAGUAAACUUUAUACAACUUUCAGCAACGGAUCUCUUGGCUCUC
rnacentral:misc_RNA from 1 species